UUUGUCUUUCUCCUCUCUUCCAACCAAACUUUCAUCCCUGUCCCCACCCUUCCCAUGUUGUAUUAGCUUGCAGUGUAAAACUAUAAGCUCUAGUGAUCAAAAAUUCUGCUUCAAUACCAUGCCCAUCCACUACUGUACGAAAUAGUCUAGUCCAGGAAAUAAGAAAUAAUGUAAGUGCUAAAAAGAUUUUUGAAUCAGUAAUCUAUUUCUGUCUGAAAUAUCAAGUGAGAGUAUUGUUGAAGUAUAAGUCAUCUCUGGAAAUUAUCAGAUUAUAACUUUCAUGUGGCUGCACAAAUAACUCAGUUUUAUUUCUAAGUGUUUUUCAAUCCUUAUAUAUGUUUUAUUCUGCUAUUUAUUUAAUAUUCUGCUGAAUAGUUUGAGAAGUGAUCACAAUUUUUUAUCCAGCAUCAGUACAUCAAAUAUGAAAAUCUUUAGCUGAAGGCUGCAUGAGAUCACUGGUAGCCAUUGACUCAGAAAUAUGUGAACUCCUUAAUUUUAUUUAUACUCAAAUAUUGAAGAGGCAGAGUCAUUAAAGAGAAUCUUGUUGACAGAUGUUGAUUUGUCUUUCAAAACAUUUUCUCUCAAUAUUUUCACUGUACACUUAAAAUACAUAUUUGUAUGUAGAGACUAAGUGAGAGGGAUGGAGAAAGUGGACAGAGAAGGGAAGGAUUUUGCAUCAGUCUCUGAAGUAGCCACACCAUGGUUCUGCUGUUACCUCCUUCUGAAUUGCUUCAUAGAAAUAGGGGUUCCCUAUGACAGAAAUCCUGAUUCCUUUUUCAGCUAACUAGUUUUCCAUUAGAUGUACUGAUUUUUACCAUAAAAUUACCAUAGCUCUGUGAUUGUGUUUCAGUUGCUCUACUAGGAAGCUUCAAAGUUAGGCUUUGAAUGGAAGAUCUAAGAUUGAACAACUUGUACUGUGUUUCAGCAGGCUCAGGGUAGAGAUUAAGGAUUGGUUUUGGUUUUAUAUCUGUGCUAUUUUACUGUCAGUCUCAUAUGAAUUCGUAUCUAUGGGAAAGAAGUGUUGACUGAGUUGUUUUAAUGAGUUCAGAAAUGCUGAAAUGUUUGUUCGAUGUAGUGAAAUGUUUUGACUUUGUGGCUUUCAGAAGAACUGCAUCCAAGAUAAGAACAGGUACUUCAGAUAUGGAGACCCUCAAUUCCAGGCUUCCUUUGUGCACCUUUGUGAACCCUGCAUCUUGGAUGAGUUUCCCAUGUACCACCAGAUGUGUUGUGGGGUGGCUGCCUUUAUCUUUAGACAGCAACAGUGUUUGUUAUUGUUUGUUAUCUCUGCAGCAUGCAGCAUAGUUGGAAUUGAUUAACGUGCAGACUAGUUCAGUUUUGAUCUUUGAAAAAUCUGAAAAAAUAUGACUAUAAGUAAAAACCCAUUAAUAUUUACAGAGUAAUAUUUAUUCAGAGUAGUAAAAAUUAUGUAGAGUUCUAAAACAUAAUGUAAGAUAAUCAAAGAAAACUCAAAGAAAAUUAUGCUAUGUAAAACUAAUAGAGAAUCCCAGUGUUUGUUAGGUGUGGGUUUUUUUUGUUUGUUUGUUUGGUUGGUUUUUCUUUUUCCCCAUUAAACAAAGACACAAGAUUUUUAAUCUCCCACUAUGGAAGACUACAUUCAGAAUACCUAUAAUGACCUUGGCAGCCUGCUUAAUGAAUAAAUGGAGUACUUAGCCGUAUCUGGUAAUGAAAAUGAGGCACGCUUAAUUGACUUACCACCCAACUAAUCAUCAGUUAAUGCAGUCCUGAAAUUUGCUAAGUUAUUUCAUCGUGGAGGGUCAGAGCAUUCAUGUAGAGAAGGGACAAUCUAAACUUUAUACCUUAAGCAUGGAGCAAAUGCAAAUGGCAAACAGUAAUUAAUGUGGCCCAGAGGUUUCAGCUGGUAGCAUGGCCUUGAUUCACACUGUCCUCAGCCAUCUGUAAAAUGUUUAUAAUUCUAGAACCAAACUUCAUUAGUUGUCAUCCUGCAGGCAAUUCUACUGGAGGACUUGUCAGACUGCUUGCAAAAGAGCAUUGUUCUGGGCACUCCAACAUCUUAGAUUUUGUUCAUUUUAUUAUUAUUUUAUUUAAGAGAGAGUAGGUUUUGGUCAUCACUGUAUGAACAUCCCAGAAUAGCUUGUUGGCAUUUUAUUCAAAGUACAUUAUGAGAUACAGAACCUGACUUGACACCUGCAAAUGUCUCUGUCUUGAUUUUACAUGGCUACAUAGACAAUGAUUCAGAACUGAAUGAAGUAAUUUAUUCUAAAAUCUUUCUGCCUCAGCAGGGAUUUUUGUAUUGCUUACAGGAAUUACUUAGUAUUCAGAGCCAAAACAGUGAUGUUUGAAGAAGAGGCCAUCAAUUUAGUUCACUGCACAAGGGGUAAUCAGUAAAAACUGUACUUUCACUCCUUAUGCUCAGAAAUGUCUGGUAAAUAAAAUACUUUGUACAGCAAAAAUGUACUCACUCUAUGUUCUGUAAACCGCUUUUUUUAAGCUUUUUUUUUUCCUUUGAAAAUAUUAAGUGACUUUCACACAUCUGGAUCAGAAAUAGCAAUGGUGAUUUUUCUUAGGGUUUCUUGCAUCGCUGAGUAUAGGGGGACAAUUACUUCCCUGUUCCUGCUGGCCACACUAUUUCUGAUGCAAGCCAGGAUACCAUUGGCCCUCUUGGCCAUUUGGGCACACUGCUGGCUCAUGUUCAGGCGAGCGUCAAUCAAGACCCCCAGGUCCAUUUCCUCUACACAGUCUUCCAGCCACUCUGCCCCAAACCUGUACCGUUGCCUCGGGUUAUUGUGGCCAAAGUGCAGGACCUGGCAUUUGGUCUUGUUGAACCUCAUCCCAUUGGCUUCAGCCUAG
ensembl:lncRNA